AACAGGAUUAGAUACCCUGGUAGUCCACGCUGUAAACGAUGGAUACUCGGUGUGCGGAGCGUUAACCCUCUGCGUACCAAAGUUCACACAUUAAGUAUCCCGCCUGGGAAGUACGGUCGCAAGACUAAAACUCAAAGGAAUUGACGGGGGCCCGCACAAGAGGUGGAGUAUGUGGUUUAAUUCGAAGCAACGCGCAGAACCUUACCUGGCCUUGACAUCCCACGACGCUAGCAGAGAUGUUAGUUUCCCUUCGGGGACGUGGAGACAGGUGCUGCAUGGCUGUCGUCAGCUCGUGUUGUGAAAUGUUCGGUUAAGUCCGGCAACGAGCGCAACCCCUGUUCUUAGUUACCACCAUUAAGUUGGGUACUCUAGGAAGACUGCCGGUGUUAAACCGGAGGAAGGCGGGGAUGACGUCAAGUCCUCAUGGCCCUUACGGCCAGGGCUACACACGUACUACAAUGGCAGAAACAAAGGGUUGCAAGACCGCGAGGUGGAGCUAAUCCCAAAAACACUGUCUCAGUCCGGAUUGGAGUCUGCAACUCGACUCCAUGAAGUUGGAAUCUCUAGUAAUCGCAGAUCAGCACGCUGCGGUGAAUACGUUCCCGGGCCUUGUACACACCGCCCGUCACACCACGAAAGUGGUCAUAACCAGAAGUGAGAGAGCUAACGCAAGAGGCAUCUUACCAAGGUUGCGGCCGUGAUUGGGGUGAAGUCGUAACAAGGUAACC
rnacentral:rRNA from 1 species